rnacentral:lncRNA from 1 species
CGAGAGAUUGCAGAGGAUGGAGGCCCAGACAGAAACAGAAAAAAAUAGGUAGAAAGAGAAGGCUCAGAUCAGAUAUGCCUUCAAAUCGGACAGGACAAAAACACCUCAACCCCAGGGCUGCAACAAAAAAAAGGUUGCCUCUCCAAAAAAUUGAGUAUUUCUCCCCCAGUCUGACUUUUCAGGCUCACUGAAUAAAUCGCCAUAGCCUCGNNNNNNNNNNNNACACACAAGAAAGAAAACAGAUAUAUUGGUAUAAGGGCUGUUGCCAACACAAGAUCCGUAAUGAGUAGUCACCGGCUCUGCUACCGAUCAGAGAGGACAGAGUAAACCACCCUGAAACCAACCCCCCCCCUCACUGAGAGCAAAGCCUCAUACCUAAACCAUUCACACAGCAAUAUUAAGGUAAACAUAUUUCAUAAAAAAGCAAUUGCGAAUUUUAUAUUUUAGAAAAAAAAAUAACAUAAAGAAAAUCGAAAAUGAAGAGCUAGAGAUUGAAGAGGAUGGAGGCCCAAACAGAAACAGAAAAAAACGGUAGAAAGAGAAGGCUCAGAUCAGGUAUGCCUUCAAAUCGGACAGGACAGAUACACCACAACCCCAGGGCUGCAAAAACCAAAGGUUGCCCCGCCAAGAAAUUGAGUAUUUCUCCUCCAGUCUGACUUUUUAGGCUCACUGAAUAUAUCGUCAUAGCCUCGCCAGUC